GGCCUGAUGGUGUAGUGGUUUCAUGUCUCCUAUACUUUCUCUGCAGGCGAUUCUGUUUGGAGACGUCCCCGGUUCGAAUCCGGGUCAGGCCC